GCUGGAAUGGCUCAGUCGGUAGAGCGACGUACUCGUAAUACGUAGGUCGUGGGUUCGAUUCCCGCUUUCAGCA
rnacentral:tRNA from 1 species